rnacentral:rRNA from 1 species
AAUCUUCCACAAUGGACGAAAGUCUGAUGGAGCAACGCCGCGUGAGCGAAGAAGGUUUUCGGAUCGUAAAGCUCUGUUGGGGGGGAAGAACAAGUACAGGAGUAACAGUCUAUACCUUGACGGUACCUCAUCAGAAAGCCACGGCUAACUACGUGCCAGCAGCAGCGGUAAUACGUAGGUGGCAAGCGUUGUCCGGAAUUAUUGGGCGUAAAGCGCGCGCAGGCGGCCUUUUAAGUCUGAUUUGAAAGCCCACGGCUUAACCGUGGAAGGUCAUUGGAAACUGAGAGGCUUGAGUACAGAAGAGGAAAGCGGAAUUCCACGUGUAGCGGUGAAAUGCGUAGAGAUGUGGAGGAACACCAGUGGCGAAGGCGGCUUUCUGGUCUGUAACUGACGCUGAGGCGCGAAAGCGUGGGGAGCAAACA